rnacentral:lncRNA from 1 species
CGGAAUCUGGCCGGAAAAAAAAAUAUUUCAGAAAAAAAAUUUAUUUUCUGAAAAAAAAAAAUUUUGGGGGUUAAUGUGAUAUAUUUGUUUAAAUCCGGGGUCAAUCUGUAAUAUUUAAGAAGUUGGAGUUGAAUUGGGUUUCAAUGAAUUGGGGGUAAUUUUGGUAUAUAUAAAGGGAUUUUCCUUAUUUGCAAAUAAGUUUGAAUGGGGUGGGUUUAUUUGAAAAACAAAAAAGUUGGAUGUCCCUUUUUUAAUUAAGUGCCCUUGUCAUGGGCCUAUUUGCCA